rnacentral:rRNA from 1 species
UACGUAGGGUGCGAGCGUUAAUCGGAAUUACUGGGCGUAAAGCGUGCGCAGGCGGUUCGUUGUGUCGGCGGUGAAAGCCCCGGGCUCAACCUGGGAAUGGCCGUUGAAACUGGCGAACUGGAGUGUGGCAGAGGGGGGUGGAAUUCCGCGUGUAGCAGUGAAAUGCGUAGAGAUGCGGAGGAACACCGAUGGCGAAGGCAGCCCCCUGGGCUGACACUGACGCUCAUGCACGACAGCGUGGGGAUCAAACAGG